UUUUCCUACCCGCCCCCCCCACUCCGUCCCCAGCCCGUCACCACCGCCACCAUGGGAGCGAGGGAGGUGGCUCGGCCAGGCCUGAGAUUGUUCUACAGCCACUGUUGACAGGGCUGAAGAACAGGUGUGGGCAGAACCAGGUUGUGAGAACGAAGUCGGGGCGCAGAGUAGCGGCCGUACAGGAAGGGGCGGGGCAGAAGAGACUGGCCGGCUGCGGGAGCGCGCGGCUGCUGGAGCCGCGCGGGAAGAAGCACGCAUGCGUCAGCCCUCUGGGUUUCAGCAUGGAAGAUUUAUAAUGGCCACAUCAUUGUAUUAUGAAUUGGAAGAGUUCAGGAAUGGUGUCGGGCACAUAGUACUGGAAUGUUUUUCGACUUUGAAAUCCUUGGAGAUUACUUGACAUAAGUCCAUCUGAGCCACCCCAAAUGGUUUUGAAAGAUCUGCAACUUCUCUCAUGUGCUGAAUAUAUGAUGCCUUUACUUAGGAAGAGUAAGAAAAAAUGUUUACAGUUUCACUUUGAGGUUUAAAAAAUUCCUGUAACAAUUAGCUCUUGAUUCAGAAAUUAUAAAUAAAACUGCUUUAUU